rnacentral:misc_RNA from 1 species
UAAUAAGUGUUUUAUGGCACUUUUUAAAUCCAUAUCCACCUUGUGUGCAAUGUCAGUCGAUCUUCUUCAUGGAGAUCGACCAAACAUCAACCUUUAUCUUUUAACUCUUUGUCUGAAAAAUAUUAUGAAUAGAACAAUUCAAAAUA